rnacentral:tRNA from 1 species
GGGUUGAGGGUGAUUCUCAGUGGUAGAGCAUCUGUUUUGCAUUCAAAAGGUUCCUGGUUCAAUCCCAGCAUCUCCAGUUCA